GGGUCAUUACAGGCAGACAAAGUUCAAUGUGUCCACUGGGUGGCGCUGCUUUCUCCACAUGCAGGUUCACCGCCAGUCAAUCUGACUGGCGGGCAGAGACUGAGUUACCUGGAGAUGUUAUAAAAAUGUUUACCCAGCCCGGCAACAGACCAGUUUAAUGUACGUAGCAAUACUAGCAUCACUCAAGUAAAGGAAAAAGAUCAGUGCUGAUGAAGAGGAGCUCUCCUCCUCUUCCUCUCCUGAGUCAUAGCUCCUCCCUGCUCUUCCUCCUCCUCUUCCUCAGUGUGCGUCUCCCUCCGUCUGCAGCAUGGCGUCUCUCGGCCUCCUGCUGCUCGGCGCCGCUCUGCUCCACGCCACUCAGUCUCUACCUGCAGCUCUUGGUGGUGGGCGUGGCCUGGACAUCUCAAUGGGCGGGAUCAGACGACAGCGCAGAGACCUCCACAACGGGCUGCCAUAUGACGAU